rnacentral:rRNA from 1 species
GAUGAACGCUGGCGGCGUGCCUAAUACAUGCAAGUCGAGCGAACGGACGAGAAGCUUGCUCCUCUGAUGUUAGCGGCGGACGGGUGAGUAACACGUGGAUAACCUACCUAUAAGACUGGGAUAAUUUCGGGAAACCGGAGCUAAUACCGGAUAAUAUUUUGAACCGCAUGGUUCAAAAGUGAAAGACGGUCUUGCUGUCACUUAUAGAUGGAUCCGCGCUGCAUUAGCUAGUUGGUAAGGUAACGGCUUACCAAGGCAACGAUGCGUAGCCGACCUGAGAGGGUGAUCAGCCACACUGGAACUGAGACACGGUCCAGACUCCUACGGGAGGCAGCAGUAGGGAAUCUUCCGCAAUGGGCGAAAGCCUGACGGAGCAACGCCGCGUGAGUGAUGAAGGUCUUCGGAUCGUAAAACUCUGUUAUUAGGGAAGAACAGAUGUGUAAGUAACUGUGCACGUCUUGACGGUACCUAAUCAGAAAGCCACGGCUAACUACGUG